AAUCUACUUCCUCCAUUUUAUAAUUCUUGUCGAAAUCUUACAUGUAUUUAGACACUUUUUAGGAAUAGAUACAUCCAUUUUUGGACAAAUUUGAAACAAGAAUUGUGGAAUGGAGGGAGUAGAAA
rnacentral:pre_miRNA from 1 species